rnacentral:rRNA from 1 species
GAUGAACGCUGACAGAAUGCUUAACACAUGCAAGUCUACUUGAACUUCGGUUUGGGUGGCGGACGGGUGAGUAACGCGUACAGAACUUGCCUCACAGAUAGGGACAACAUUUGGAAACGAAUGCUAAUACCUGAUAUUAUGAUUUUAGGGCAUCCUAGAAUUAUGAAAGCUAUAUGCACUGUGAGAGAGCUUUGCGUCCCAUUAGCUAGUUGGAGAGGUAAUGGCUCACCAAGGCGAUGAUGGGUAGCCGGCCUGAGAGGGUGAUCGGCCACAAGGGGACUGAGACACGGCCCUUACUCCUACGGGAGGCAGCAGUGGGGAAUAUUGGACAAUGGACCAAGAGUCUGAUCCAGCAAUUCUGUGUGCACGAUGAAGUUUUUCGGAAUGUAAAGUGCUUUCAGUUGGGAAGAAAAAAAUGACGGUACCAACAGAAGAAGUGACGGCUAAAUACGUG